AGCAGCCGCGGUAAUUCCAGCUCCAAUAGCGUAUAUUAAAGUUGUUGCAGUUAAAAAGCUCGUAGUUGAAUUUCGGGGUUAGUAGGUUGGUCAUGCCUCUGGUAUGUACUGGUCUCACUGAUUCCUCCUUCCUGAUGAACCUUAAUGCCAUUUAUUUGGUGUUUUGGGGAAUUUGGACUGUUACUUUGAAAAAAUUAGAGUGUUUAAAGCAAGCUAACGCUUGAAUACAUUAGCAUGGAAUAAUGAAAUAGGACGUUCGAUCCUAUUUUGUUGGUUUCUAGGAUUGACGUAAUGAUUAAUAGGGAUAGUUGGGGGCAUUAGUAUUCAAUUGUCAGAGGUGAAAUUCUUGGAUUUAUUGAAGACUAACUACUGCGAAAGCAUUUGCCAAGGAUGUUUUCAUUAAUCAAGAACGAAAGUUAGGGGAUCGAAGACGAUCAGAUACCGUCGUAGUCUUAACCAUAAACUAUGCCGACUAGGGAUCGGAUGAUGUUAAUUUUUAAUGUA
rnacentral:rRNA from 1 species